UUUCACUGAUGCUUUGGAUGCCUGCAUCCCACAUCUGAGCAUGCGGGUUCCAGCCUUGACUCUGCGUCCAAUAUUGUUUCCUACUAACAGUCACCUUGGGAGGCAGCAGAUGAUGGCUAAAGUACUAAAGUGCUUGGAUUCUUGUCACCCUGUGAGAGUUCUGGUCUUCUGACACCUGCCUGGUGUGACAAUCUAUUGUUCUAUUCUGUUAUGGAAUAUUAACAGAGUUACAUGGACCGUCAGAUUUCCCAUAAUAUGUUCUCAGCAACAAGGAAGUCAGAAUGCAAAUUCCAUACUUAAGAGGUGGUGGAGAAUUUUGUUCCAUUUCUGGGGGACAGAAUAUUUGCAUAAAUUAUUUGGAACUUUUCUGAACAAGGGAGUUUAUGGAAUGUCCAGCCAGCCAAUGUGCUGGGAGAUGAAGCGAAAGAAGCAUAUGUGCAUCAGACUCUCUCAGUUUAACAGAAGCCCAUGACCCAAAGGUAAAUGGACCAGGCAAAUCUGACAAAGAAGAAUCUUUUGAACUAUAUUCAUAAUGAUGAUGAAAAACACAAACAAAGACAAAGACAAAAACAUUGCACCUGGAGUAGCAUAUUAAGUCUUUCCUUAUGUUAGGAAAGGAUUAAAAAUGGUUGUGAGAAAUUUGCAUGAAAACACACAUGCCUAACCAAAAGGGUGAUCUUUCUUACCCUCAGAAUUGACCAAAAAUGUGGAUAACAUUUCAAUUCUCCAUUUAUGAAGAUAAGCAAGAAUUUAGAAAAGAACAAAUAAGUAGGAAAGCCACAAAGUAGGUGACAAAUGAAGAUGAAGAGGGAGUGGAAAGUGUAACUCAUUUUAGGAACAAAGCUGUGGAUUAAAGACUCUAAGGAGACUUCUUCAGGCUCUAUGCUCUGACAAAAGGAGUUCUGCGUUGGUGCAUAAUUUUCUCACAGAUCUUUGGUUCUUUGAUGUGUCUGAUGCACAAAUAAAAAUUUUCUUGAGAAACACACGCAUGGGUUCCAUCUGACUUUUUUUUCUUCAUCAAUCUGUAUGUGAACAUAUAUAAUUUUGAUAAUUCAGACCUCAAUAGCAUGCAAGACAUGACCAAAAGAUUUCUGGUUUAAAGUACUGAACUACAUAACUCUUGGAAUUGCAUUUCUCUAUUCCUUGCUGCCAAAAAAAAUCAUUCAAUUUCCCACUGAGGAAUCAGGAUCAUGUUAAGGUAACAAAUUCAUUUGCCCAACACUGUUAUGCAGCUGAACACCAGCAUAGCCUAGUAUGUGCUAAUGCUUCACAAAUAUUUGUGCCAUGUAAUAACAAAUGAGUAAAGUGAGUCCACCUUGAAUCAGGCCUUACUCUUCUAAAAUGACAAUAUUUUGGUUUUCCAGAUCCUGGCCAUCAGAAAUAAGACUGAAUUUAAGAUAAUACUUUCCCCUGUGGCCUAGCCGCUGUUCACAAAUGACAAUCUUAACCUGGAUUUGUGCUCACUGAAACCCAAAUGGAACUUGAGCAAGACAAGUUUCCUAAUCCAUAUGGGAAAUCAAAAAUUCAUCUUGGGCUUCAGAUAGAUGAACACAAUGAAGAAACAUACUUUAACAUCAGAUUAUAUUGUCUCUUUUUUUUUAAGAUUAUUUAUUUAUUUGAGAGGUAGAGUUACAGACAGUGAGAUGGAGAGACAGAGAGAAAGGUCAUCCUUCCAUUGGCUCACUCCCAAAAUGGCUGCAACAGCCAGAGCUGCUCCAAUCCAGAGCCAGGAGCCAGGUGCUUCUUCCUGGUCUCCCACAUGCAUGCAGGGGCCCAAGCACUUGGGUCAUCUUCUACUGCUUUCCCAGGCCACAGCAGAGAGCUGGAUGGGAAGAAGAGCAGCCAGGACUAGAACUGGUGCCCACACGGGGAUGCUGGCUCCCCAGGAAGAGGAUUAACCUACUGCACCACAGCGCCGGCCCCUAUAUUGUCUCUUGGACCAAAGAUCACAUUUAUAUGUAGCAGUGGCCAAACCUGCAGCCUAUAACUGCAAAGCUUGCUCAGUACAUUGAUACAAACUUUAGCCUUAUCACAAUGAUAUGAUUGUAUUUGCAGUAGAUAGAUCAUUUGCCAUCUUAGUCAAGACUACUGAGAAUGGAAGGGAUACUGCUGAUAGCAAUAUUGGAAAUCAGGACCAUGUGUUAAACCAGGAUUUCUGGCAGCACUAUCCAUAGAAACAUUUUUCCCCUAGGUAAUUUCACAAGGAAGAAGUCUGUGGAAGAAAAAAAUAUCUUCACUUAUUUUGAGAUCUUUUAUUUCAUUAAAGAGGUCAAGGAAAUUGCUGACUUUUGAUGCCAUGGUUCUGUUUCUGUUUCACAUGCAUUUCACAUGAUAAUCAAUAAAUUCUGCCUACUCUCUUUUAUUCUCUUUAUUUAGACUCUGUUAGGCAGUCCUCUUGGUUCACCAAAGUUUUCCAAAUCCCUGUAAAUAGGCACACUAAAUAAUUACAGUUAAAAUAAAAUGUCAUAUAUAUUAUGUAUUUGUAUCUUAAUGAUGUAUUUGUAGUCAAGUAUUGGUUUGCUCCCCUCUUUAAAGUAUUAUUUUCUCUAAUCUACAUUGAGAAAAGAGGUAUGUUUUGUUGACUUUAGCAGUUUUCCCUUGAAACCUCUUAACAGACUGAGUAUUUCUCCCUGUCUACCGAGAAGUUUCUCUCCCUACCCAUUCACAUGUAUGCAGAACUGAUGUAUUUCAAUUACACUUGGGCAAGACUAUACCAUUUUUCCAAGCUUUGCUGAAAGACAGUAGUGGUAUUGGAGUAUGGCACAUUCUCUCUUUAUAUUCCUGUCUUUUCCCUUCUAUCACAUAACCACAAUUCAGUUUCAUGGUGGUAUUAACCUUUCCUGAAAAUUUAGAGCAAACUAAAAUGAAUCAAAAAUAUUUUAAACCAUGUAACUCAUAUUUGUUGUCAAAUAAAUGCACAAUCAUCAUCAACUCUGAAUAAAUUUUCUUGUUGCAUGGCAAAUCUUCCCGGGGUAUUGAUGGAGGAAUCUGCAGAGAUAAGAUUCUGCUGGUAAUAAUUGAAUGGAUGCCAAUUGACAAACCAGAAAUGGCAUAUAGAUCAAAAAGCACCUUGCAAUUGUUGUCGAAGUUCAAAGUUUAACAGACUGUUAAUCAGUGCUUCGUAGAAGUAGAGCCAUUUCUUAUUUUAGAAUUCAAACUUCAAGGAGUUUGCAGAUGAUGUAAUGGAGAUGAAGAGGCCUUAAGUAACUUACUGAUGGUGAUCCAUGAAAGAGCAGAGAUUCAAACCCAGGAGAAGUGAUGUCAGAGCUUGUUCACUUAAGAACCAUGUACCCUGUCUUCAAGAAGUCUGUCACCAGUACACCCGUCAGUGAGCAUUGGUAAACCAGUGCAUUCAUAAGGAAAAAUGGUUCAAGUAAUCCAGGCAAUGAGGAAUGAGCAAAGUAACAAGGGGGACUUCAGAACACAAUUGCCACUUCAGUGAAUACCAUAAGAUAGCAAAUUGAUCAUCUAAAAAAGAAACCAUUUGUCUCUAAUAAGAGACAUACAAAAGAAUGGAUGGAACUUCAAGAAAUGGACUCUUCAUUCAAAAAAUGAAAACAAGAAAGAUAGUUAUUGUUGGUGCCUUGUAUCUAACUGUGUCGAGCAUCUGACCCUUGCAACAACAACAGCUUCUUUGUGAAUGUGAGUGGGAGACCAAGCUGAUUGAGUUGAAUGAUGUGCACGUCAGUUGUAUGUCCAACUAGAACUCACAUAUGUGACUUUGGAGAGAAGGUCUUUGCAGAUGUAAUCAUACUAAGGUGAAGUCAUAUUUGAUGAUGUCAGGCCCUCAACCAAUGGUGAGUGUCCUUAUUAGAGGCAGGAAAUGUAGAUACACAGAGACACAUAAGGACAAAGCCACGUGACAACUGCAGCAGCAAAUGGAGUGAGGUAGCUGCAAGCUAAGAAACAUCAAGGAUUAUCAGAAGUCACCAGAACUUGGAAAAGGCAAGGAGGAACGGCUUCGUGGUGGGAACACGGUGUAGUCAGUGAGUUGAUUUCUGACUGGCAGCUUCCAAAACAAUAAAAGAACAAAUUUUCAUUUUUCUAAAGCCAACUAAUUUGUAAUACAUCAUUAUGAUAGUACAAGGAAACUAAUACACAAAGGUCUCCAGUCAUGGCAGGUUGAGCAGUGGAAAAAGCCUGGUUCCUUGAUGAUGUUUCUGAGCCAAGGAUGAAACUACACUGCCUCUAAUCUUUUUGUGAUUAGAGAAUAUUUUAUCUUCCUGCUGUUUUAACUAGUUCCAGUUGAUUUACAUUUUGUUGUUAUUUGCUGCAAAGAAAUCAUAAGUGAUAUGCAUAUUUGGGGUGUUGCAAAUAUUUGGGGAGGAAAAACACUUGGUAUAGCCCGGAAUUCCCCGUGCUAGUCAAACAGGUGGAGGUUCCAGUUUAGAACUUUGGUAGAUUCAUGUAAAUGUGACUUCAUGUGCUCUCACAGUCUGCUGAAGCUUUGCACUUAUCAUUUAUGUUCUGGAACUUUUUCACGUCCACUAUUAUCCCAGACUGAUGUGGCCUAGGGAAAUGCUAGUGACAUUUGUUUGAUAGCCAAAGCAUCAUGUAAGUAAAUUCCACUUGCUUUCUCUUAUGAUCCUAGCCUGAGUUUUGAUUAAAGAUAAAGAGAUGCAAAAAUACCCAAAUCACAUGCAUGAAAACAAAAUGUCUGCUUCUUCAGAUAGUUCUAUUUUUGUGUCUAUAAUUCUGCUCACCAACUGCAUGUGUAACCUUUCUUUAAAUUUGCAAAAUAAUUCAGAAGUUUUCAUGCUGCCAAUUGCUAAUCAAACCUUCUUCAUCAACAUCCACGCCCUCUUCCCAUUUGUCAUCUUAUUCAUGCAUUGCAAACAGUGGCUCAUGCAGCUCCCUCUUCUCUUUGCCUCAGGAAAACAACAGGCUGUGUAACCAAGGGGAAGCUUAUUAGCAGCUAAAAACUCAUUUUUAAUGCUACCUAAUCAGGUUGCUGUCUCAUUUAAAUUAUGAACCUUAAGAAAAAAAAUCCUCAUUUAAUGACUCAAAUAUUAGUGUGCCUUGUCAAACAGUGCCUUUAAUAUUGCUUGCUUCCUCUCAAGGAGUUCAAGCACUAAACCGUCGCCAGAAUAAACUGGUAAACCUGUUUCUUGCUCAGUGCAUAUGGUGAAAACCUAAGAGGCCUGUUUGAUAUAUAAAAAUGUACUUGGCAGCUAUUUUAUAUUUAUCAAAACUAUGUUACCAAGUAAAAGUAAGGUUCAGCUCCAAGAAUGUUUUUUUUUUUUUUUUUAAAUAUAAAGACUGGACAUAUUUGUGAAUAAAACCUAUCUAGGCUUCUCAUUUAUGAAUGGCUUACUAAAUUGAGUUCAUUUAUUCUGCAUCACGCUAUUUGCUUAUACCAUUUAUUUAUCCUGUAAGUUAAUGGAAGAAAAUACAGGUGCCUGAACUUUCCAUGUUUUUUUUUUUUUUUUAUAUGUUUUUAAAGCUGCAACACUGUAAAAGUAGCUUUAUAAGGUUGGGAAGUUUUUUCAGCUUCAUAUGUGUUUUAAUUCAUCAAGAAGGCAAAAACCUGUGCCAGUAGUCCAUACUUACAGCUCCUCAUUUCUACUCUCCAGGAAUUGACUUGAAGGUGUUUAUAACACCAGCUAAAUGACACUAUCCCUUCCAACAUGGGCUGGACAUCCAUGUGUGCCAUGUAAAUUGACUUAUAGCCUAACAUGCUUGUGUGAUUUCAAAUCCAUAUUUCUCUGACUGCAGAGGAAAUGACCCCAGGAACCACUAACAGAUACCAGCGGAGUGUUCAAGAACAUUUAUAAAAUCAGCAGCUGACGCAUACUGAGGAAGUUUGAGAUCCUCCAGAAGUUUCGCAUACUCCUAGGUUUUAGAGUACAGUGGAUUAGGUUGGACUGAUCAAGGCAGGUUUUCUCAUUGGAAUGGAAUGACAGAAAAGCAUGGGUUGUUCGAUUCAACCAAGAAGAGAAGAGUGCCUAUGUGUGUGUCACAGGACAGAAGUGACUGCCUAUCCUAGGGUGGAUGCAGAAGCCAGUGCAACAAUUAAACUUUAUUUAGAGGGGACUGAAAAUAAUCAGCAAUAAUCAAUAUCUCUUCAUACAUUUGAAUGUACU